UACAGAGGUCCCAAGCGUUGUUCGGAUUUAUUGGGCGUAAAGGGUGCGUAGGCGGCGGAGUAAGUUGGGUGUGAAAUCCCGGGGCUCAACCUCGGAAUUGCAUUCAAUACUGCUUCGCUCGAGUACUGGAGAGGAGACUGGAAUUUACGGUGUAGCAGUGAAAUGCGUAGAUAUCGUAAGGAAGGCCGGUGGCGAAAGCGAGUCUCUGGACAGUUACUGACGCUGAUGCGCGAAAGCUAGGGGAGCAAACGGG
rnacentral:rRNA from 1 species